CAGCCGCAGUCACAGCCUCAGCCGCAGCGGCCGUGCUACCUAGGUGAUAGCGGAGCGGCUGGGUAGGAAGCAAUUGUUCUCAAACUUCACUAGCCCCGUCGGCGCGGACGCUUGUCGAGAAUGCAGAUUCCUGGGUACUGCCAGAUACGGUUGGUGAUCUUGUAGGGCUGGAGUGGAAGCCAUGAAUCUGCAUUUUCAUCAUUUCUGGCCCUCUGCCCGGGCUGGGGUGAUUCACGGGGAUUCGUAGUGGCCCCAAAGGAGCACGCAGAACCUCGGCUGCUGUGCAUUUAUCACCUCUUUUGUUCCCGGAGGCCGCACCCCAGGUCCAGUUUACACAGCUGCCAACUCCUUUUCUUGGUUCCCACUGGAAUCUAGGAAGAAAACUCGCCCUUUACUUCUCCGCCCCACACCCGACGACGGAGUGUCUAGAGAAUUGAGCAUACCACAAAAAAGUUCUCAUUUUGUGUCCUCCCAUCCCAUUCUCCUCACUAACCAAAGGCUAGGAAUUAUCUGUGAAUGUAGGACCACUGGAUUUGCAGUCUUCAUCUGACACUGUGGAGAGUUUCUAGGAAUGAAACAGAUAUAUGGCCUUGGGUCCCCUUUUUUUUUCUUUUUUUUUUUUUUAAUAGAGACGAGCAUCUCACUAUGUUGCCUAGGGUAGUCUUGAACUCCUGGCCUCAAGCAAUCCCCACCCGACUCCGCCUCUCGAAGUGAUGGGAUUACAGGCAUAAACCACCACGCCUGGCCAGAAGGUGCUUUAACACCAAAUCUGAAAAUUGUUCAGAAGAGAAACAUUGAGCAUGAACACCAUCUGUGCGAGUCAUUUACUUAUUGCCCCUCACCUCUAAAUCUACCUUCUGUACUCUUCUUCCCUGUAAUGAUGGGGCUAGUUGUCCUCAAACUGUUUCUCAGACUUCUUUUUAAGCUUGCUUCCUGUUCAGUUCUGCCAAUAGGGGUCACUAGAGAGAGACUGGGAGGCAGAAGGAGAGAAUAUGCUUCCUGUUUUUUCUGUUCUUGUUAAUGUUGCUUACAGGACCAGCAAUGCUUCUUCACCUAGAGACACUUCUCCCAGCAGUGGCAGUGCCACUUCAGCUUCUUUCAGCACUACUGGAAUCAGCCUCAGUGAUUCCCCCUGUACCCGCUCAGAGAUUAUCCACAGCAGCCAGAUGGUUCUACCUUCCACAAAGAUUGUGGUUGCAAUUCUGGGCUUCUAAGUUCUGGUUACUUCAUAUUUUUCCUUUUGUUCCUCCAGCCCUAGAGGUGGUAGCUGCUUUCUGAAGUUAUUAUUUCUAGAUGACUUUUGGUUUUUCAGCCUUUGUAUUUUGCUUUUCAGCCCUCUAAUGCCUGUAUAACCAAUUUCCCUGUAAUAAAUAAAUUUC
rnacentral:lncRNA from 1 species